rnacentral:rRNA from 1 species
AUUGAACGCUGGCGGCAGGCUUAACACAUGCAAGUCGAGCGAGCGGCGGACGGGUGAGUAAUGUCUGGGAAACUGCCUGCUGGAGGGGGAUAACUACUGGCAACGGUAGCUAAUACCGCCUACCUUCAGAUGUACCCAGAUGGGAUUAGCUGGUAGGUGGGGUAAUGGCUCACCUAGGCGCCGAUCCCUAGCUGGUCUGAGAGGAUGACCAGCCACACUGGAACGGGGACACGGUCCAGACUCCGACGGGAGGCAGCAGUGGGGAAUAUUGGACAAUGGGCACAAGGCUGAUGCGGCCAUGCCGCGUGUGUGAAGAAGGCCUUCGGGGUGUAAAGCACUUUCAGCGAGGAGGCGGUACCCACAGAAUAAGCACCGGCUAACUCCGUGCCAGCAGCCGCGGUAAUUC